GUCCUUGUCGAUUAGUGGUCAAAUCAUCACGUUGUGGCCUGUACAAAACCGUGAAGCCGGAGGUUCGAAUCCUCCCUGGGACA
rfam:Pisolithus tinctorius Marx 270 unplaced genomic scaffold scaffold_4, whole genome shotgun sequence.